CCACAGAAGACAAUAGAAUGAGUAGAACAGCCAAGGAACAGUUAAAAUUUCAAUACCUACCAAAAUUGUGGAAACAAAAAAGAUGAUUAUUUAUAUAAUCCAAGAAUUUCAUGCGAAUAACCAAUUAAGAUUUUCUGUUUGUUUGCAAGCUCUAAUCUUAACCAAUUACAAAUCCCAAAAUAACAAUGCCAAGGACGAAGCCCCUGUUAUUCAAAUAAGAUGAUUCAAGUUCUACAAAGCAGUAAAAUAUAGCCAAGGAUGAGUUGCCAAUUCUCCAUCGGAGUGCAAGCUCAAGUUGUGGUGCUGAUUGGUGCACAUUUAUCGAUAAAUAAUUGAAGCAUGUCAUCAGGUGGUUGGAAAAUAUCGUGCUUGUUCAAUAUGUUCGAGAAAUCAGAGUUAGCAGGCAAGAGACCCCAACUGCUACUUUCCGAAUGAUGAAUCUCAGCUUCUGUCUUUGUUGAACUAUUUUAAAGAGAGAUUUUUACCAUAUGUUUUGGAUGAAAGCUUUGAUUGUUGUGUAUUCUUCGUGUUUAAAAACCACCCUCUGGAACUCCUAGCCCUCUUUAAUGCAUGAAAAUGCCUAGAUUCGUGAAGAUAUGGCUACAAUAGGGAAAGACAAAAACAAUUAAUAGCAUAGAAACAUGUAAUUUUAUGUAGAGCAAUAAAACGAAGGAUCAAAAGUUACAAUUACCUUUCUUGACUUGGUCAGCUUAUUCUGAGCCUCAUGCAGACACUAAACAAGAUAUAAAAUACAUCCCAUUGCAUUGGAUUAAUUCCAUAUACGUAUAACCACAUUCAAAUUUUUUCAGGGCAUUAACAUUAUUGAGGUACAUGAUUCAUCAAACUUGAAUUGAAAUAACCAUAUGAUCAUCAACUCGAAUUUACACACCAAUACAACAAUUAAAUCAAAACUUUCUCUAGCCAAUCAUAUAAAGAAUUUCAAAUCCUCCAAGUCAACAUUAAUUCAAAUCACAGCACAUUCUAACAAUGCAUAGACUUAGAUAAUUUCCAACAAUUUGAUUCAAUGAAGAAAGGAAAACAUGGCAGUGACUCUGCUAGAGACAUGCAGUUAAGAUCAUAAACCCAUUCUAUAUCAAUUCAUGGUGAUCUAGCAUGCUUGAUAAAAUGAAGACUAACUACCAAAGAGUCACCAAAAACAAAUUGCAAGCUAAAUUGAUCAUAGAAUUUAAGCUAAUUCAAAUCAAUUUUGCAAUAGAAAAUCAUUUCAAUUUAUCACACACCCCCAACACCAACAAAGGUUCCGAGCAUAUAUUUUCACACAUUCAGGUGAAUAAUACAAAUAAUAUAUUAAUCCUUAGUUCGAUGAAACAAGAAGCACUUAGAAAUCACUAAGCACUAAGGUAAAUAAACCCAGCACUGCAGAGAAGUUAAAAGGAUUUAGUACACGGAUAAUAUUCAAUUGACAUUAAAUGUAUGUGCACAGUGUAUUGAUAGGAGGCUAGUAUAAUUUUCCUUUCACAUGAUGUCAAAUCUUUUAGCAUUUUGAGCAUUAUUUCUCCUUAGUAACUCUUGUCAUCGCUCCAAUUGUAUACUAUAUAGUAGUAUUCCUAAAUUUAACUAGCUCUGCUAUGGAAAGUGGAACUAUUCUACUAUUAAAGUUAACUUCCAUUAUUUUCUAAUCACCAAGCUCUACCAUUCUUUCCACUGAAAAUUCACAUUUCUAACCUUUUAACUAAUAAAUAAUUCGCCAUUACAAAUCAAUAAACAAAAAUUUCAAAUAUUCACAACACAUAAGCCAAAUUUCAUAAUCACGGACACAUAUAUCUAUAUCAGUUUAUUUUCAAGGAGAUCAGAUGUAUAAAUCUCAUAAUUAAUUUCUUCAAAAAGAUUAAUGAAAGGGCAUAGUAAUAAUAAGCUAUUGCAGAAAACUGUCGAAAUUCCACCCUCCGACCAGCAACUUGAUCUUGGACCAUCACCGAUUAGUUGCCCACGUCCAGGCGACUCUAACUAGGGCUCAAUUCAGUCCAAACAACACUUAGUCUAUCUGAAUCGAUUCCAUAAAAAUCGCCAUUCGCAAUCUUCAUUUGACCCAGUUUGAUUUCUUCAAAUUCCGACGUCGUCACGUAAACCCAUGGUGGCGAACCACAUGGGUCGACAUUGUCUGCCUUUGCUGCACUUUGCCCAGAAACGGAUCCAACCCAAUUUCGUCCAAAACAGGUGGUGGGGUGUCAGAAAGAGGAUAUUUGAGAGAGAGGGGAGAAACGGGAAUGGGUGUGUUUCCCGUGUUUUGUAGAAAUACUGUACUUUGGCUUGAAAAAUGUUUUGUGUUUU
rnacentral:lncRNA from 1 species